CUGGAUGGAAGGAAUGGUCGAGAGAACUGGAUCAUUCGUACAGGGUGGACUGGGCAUCAGAGAGUGGUCGUGGAUAGAACAUCAUACGACAUGGACAUUCUGGCCACCAGCAGCAGAACAACAUGGACCCCAUCAGCAAGUCUGGGUUCUGAGAACGACCCCAACAAAACACAGACAUAAAUCCGGCUUCCCUUACAC